ACGCUGGCGGCAGGCCUAACACAUGCGUGUCGAGCGGUAGGGAGAAGCUUGCUUCUCUUGAGAGCGGCGGACGGGUGAGUAAUGCCUAGGAAUCUGCCUGGUAGUGGGGGAUAACGUUCGGAAACGGACGCUAAUACCGCAUACGUCCUACGGGAGAAAGCAGGGGACCUUCGGGCCUUGCGCUAUCAGAUGAGCCUAGGUCGGAUUAGCUAGUUGGUGAGGUAAUGGCUCACCAAGGCGACGAUCCGUAACUGGUCUGAGAGGAUGAUCAGUCACACUGGAACUGAGACACGGUCCAGACUCCUACGGGAGGCAGCAGUGGGGAAUAUUGGACAAUGGGCGAAAGCCUGAUCCAGCCAUGCCGCGUGUGUGAAGAAGGUCUUCGGAUUGUAAAGCACUUUAAGUUGGGAGGAAGGGUUGUAGAUUAAUACUCUGCAAUUUUGACGUUACCGACAGAAUAAGCACCGGCUAACUCUGUGCCAGCAGCCGCGGUAAUACAGAGGGUGCAAGCGUUAAUCGGAAUUACUGGGCGUAAAGCGCGCGUAGGUGGUUUGUUAAGUUGGAUGUGAAAUCCCCGGGCUCAACCUGGGAACUGCAUUCAAAACUGACUGACUAGAGUAUGGUAGAGGGUGGUGGAAUUUCCUGUGUAGCGGUGAAAUGCGUAGAUAUAGGAAGGAACACCAGUGGCGAAGGCGACCACCUGGACUAAUACUGACACUGAGGUGCGAAAGCGUGGGGAGCAAAC
rnacentral:rRNA from 1 species